ACGAACGCUGGCGGCGUGCUUAACACAUGCAAGUCGAACGGAAAGGCCCUGCUUUUGUGGGGUGCUCGAGUGGCGAACGGGUUAGUAACACGUGAGUAACCUUCCCUUGACUUUGGGAUAACUUCAGGAAACUGGGGCUAAUACCGGAUAGGAGCUCCUGCUUCCUGGUGGGGGUUGGAAAGUUUCGGCGGUUGGGGAUGGACUCGCGGCUUAUCAGCUUGUUGGUGGGGUAGUGGCUUACCAAGGCUUUGACGGGUAGCCGGCCUGAGAGGGUGACCGGCCACAUUGGGACUGAGAUACGGCCCAGACUCCUACGGGAGGCAGCAGUGGGGAAUAUUGCACAAUGGGCGGAAGCCUGAUGCAGCAACGCCGCGUGCGGGAUGACGGCCUUCGGGUUGUAAACCGCUUUCGCCUGUGACGAAGCGUGAGUGACGGUAAUGGGUAAAGAAGCACCGGCUAACUACGUG
rnacentral:rRNA from 1 species